rnacentral:rRNA from 2 species
UCUGUAGCAAGGUUAACCGUAUAGGGGAGCCGGAGGGAAACCGAGUCUUAACCGGGCGUUAAGUUGCAGGGUAUAGACCCGAAACCCGGUGAUCUAGCCAUGGGCAGGUUGAAGGUUGGGUAACACUAACUGGAGGACCGAACCGACUAAUGUUGAAAAAUUAGCGGAUGACCUGUGGCUGGGGGUGAAAGGCCAAUCAAACCGGGAGAUAGCUGGUUCUCCCCGAAAGCUAUUUAGGUAGCGCCUCGUGAAUUCAUCUCCGGGGGUAGAGCACUGUUUCGGCUAGGGGGCCAUCCCGGCUUACCAACCCGAUGCAAACUGCGAAUACCGGAGAAUGUUAUCACGGGAGACACACGGCGGGUGCUAACGUCCGUCGUGAAGAGGGAAACAACCCAGACCGCCAGCUAAGGUCCCAAAGUCAUGGUUAAGUGGGAAACGAUGUGGGAAGGCCCAGACAGCCAGGAUGUUGGCUUAGAAGCAGCCAUCAUUUAAAGAAAGCGUAAUAGCUCACUGGUCGAGUCGGCCUGCGCGGAAGAUGUAACGGGGCUAAACCAU